UUUUUUUGAAUACAGAUGCAAUGGGUCAGUGUGUUAGAAGCGGAUUGGAUGUACCUGUACCAAACUAUGGCAUGAGCGUGUUAUCUUACCCUGACGAUUCAUCUCCAAAUUAUGGCCAAUGUUCUGAAGCCGAUCAGCCAUACAUCGAAAGCUCUCAAACGUGGUUUCCACAAAACACCAACAGUUCCUUUUCAACAUUACGGGUAGGGGUCUUGCUAAAACGCGGAACGGAAAAGGAACGGAAAGCGGAACGGAACGGAAAACGGAAAAUAUCACAUCACGUUUAUCGCAUUGAAAGGGUAUAAACUGGCCAGAAACGAUUUACUUUGUUUCAUUUAUUCAUAUCUCUAAUGAAUGAUUAUCAACAUGUGGCUGUCUUAUCGAUAUUCUUAUGAAUGUCUAUCAAAUAUAGCAUUGUAUUCAAUUGGCUUUAGUUAAGUAUGAAACGGAAAAAAUCAAAUGUAUACGAAUUGUGAAGUAUUAGCAUAAUUAAAAGAGUAAAUAGCU
rnacentral:misc_RNA from 1 species